rnacentral:rRNA from 1 species
CAGUAGCCGCGGGAAAACGGAGGGGGCCAGCGUUGUUCGGAAUUACUGGGCGUAAAGCGCACGUAGGCGGCUUGGUAAGUUAGAGGUGAAAGCCUGGAGCUCAACUCCAGAAUUGCCUUUAAGACUGCCGAGCUAGCAGGUGAGAGAGGUAAGUGGAAUUCCGAGUGUAGAGGUGAAAUUCGUAGAUAUUCGGAAGAACACCAGUGGCGAAGGCGGCUUACUGGCUCAUACUGGACGCUGAGGUGCGAAAGCGUGGGGAGCAAACAGGAUUAGAUACCCCAGUAGUCCCUGUCUCUUAUAC